AUGCGCGGCCCUCCGUCAAGCUGGCCGGACCGUGGCGCGCGUGUGAUCUGCGUAGGGUUUGCGGUGGCGGCGCUACACACCGGCCACGGGUCUCCGGCUACCAGGAAGGCAACGGCGCGGAUCGAUUCGAUCCUUAAGGACACCCCUGGAUCUUGCUGCAGGAGGUGGGUGUCAGAAAACCAACCUGGGACACGAGCUAGCCUCCAAUUCUUGGGCUCCCGGACAACAAGGACACAACAGACGCACAAGGUUUGUUCUCUGAACCUUUGCUCUGGAGAACACAAGACACACACACAUGAGCUUGUUGUCUCUCCAAAGCUCUCUGUCUUUUAUUCAGUAGGUGUAUAUGACGAUCGAAUGGAAGUUGAUGAAGAUUAA
rnacentral:rRNA from 1 species